CAGGGGUGAAUAAGGCGGAAGCUGAGGGGACAGUCACAGCCAGGACAGGAAUGUCACCCCCAGCUGGCAGACAGCACUCUGAGCAGCCAGGCCUGGGAUCCUCUGACCUGCCCACUUCAGGAGGCCAGUGUGGUCACUGCCACCCCACGGUCUGGGGACCCUGGACUCCAAACUUGUAAGUGCUAGAGUGGGCAGCUGGAGGCCAUCUGGGCACUUUAAAACACAGGUACUCGGGAACAAACCUCUGAUGGGGUGGGUGGGGUGAGGGAUGGGGGACCUUGGGUCCCAGGCCCUCUGUGAUUUUCUGAUGAACUUCCUUCUGUGGGAGCGCUGGCUCAGGGAGCUCCUGGCCUCUCCUCCUCUACCACUUCCUCCGCCACCCGCCUCCACCUGCUCCCGGCCUGAUGUCCGCAGGGUCAUGUGUGCAGUAGUCCCACGUCCAGGCUCACUGCAGAGGCAGCCCUCUUCAGACAGGAGGCAGAAGAGAGGGCCCCCGCAAGUUAGCUUUUACUUUAAUAUUAUUAUGUCAUUAUGUGUAUUAUUAUUGUCAUCAACAUCUUUUUAUUCUGCAAAUACUAAUUUCAUAUCCCAUAUGGGCAGGCUCUGUGCAAGGUAAAUUACUAAGUUUUGUUAAUGAAGUCAAACAAAGUCAUGGGUUCUAUAAGAAGACAACUAUUUUAAAAUAUGGCAUAAAUGACAUUAUAUAGUUAAGAUAGUAUAAAGACACGACUUGGAACAAGCAAACGUGGGAACAAGGCAAGGAGAACGUGUAGCUUCCUUUUGGAGUGCUCAUACUAAUUGCUGAUGAAACAUUUCUGCACUCGGCAGGGAAUCAGUCCACAGCCCCCCUCUGAUUAAAAUGCGACCCAGCUUGGACUCUGAGAGCAAAUGUCCCAGCGACCCUGGGAAGAAGUGAUGCAAUCCUCUCUUUGCGCUGUUUAUCAUUUCUGAGAAGCAAUGACAUAGCUGCCUCUUGCAGUUUGGUCUAAUUACUUGUCUGAUCUCCCCCAGGGAGAAGCAGCUCUGUUCUCCCUUGGCCUCCAGACAGUGGGGCCCACAGUCUCUACUGGAGGAGUGGGGCCGGCCAUCGUGGGCAGGGGAGGUGGAGACCCCUUGAAGCUGAUCUGUAUUGCAGGGUGUGGAGUAGGGCUGGGGGUUCCUGGGCCUCUAAUCUUUAAAAUCCAGCAAGAAGGUAGUGUACUGUGAGCCAGGCCCAUCAUUCUCUUUCCUCCCUGAAACCAUCGAUGAGUCUUCCCCUAAGGGCUGGAGGGGAGGGUCCCCUUUCUUUGACUUCCCUUGCAGUUCCUCUGAUGCUGAAGAGUAGGGCUUGCAGGGACUCUGCCUCCUGCAGGGAGCAGCCACUGUUUCCAGGGACCCUCACAGAAGAGGAGCUAAUUUCACACUUUGGGACUCCAUAGAAGCCAGCUUCCUGGCAGUUUGAAGUGUGCUUCUCACACAUCUUCCACCAGCUUGUUUGUCUGCCUAUAUCUGAGGAUCCUUUAAAGCGAUUGAAACAAAAUUAAGGGCAGAAUGAAUCUUUGGUGAUGAAAGUGAGAAUCUGGGAGAGAUGUGAAAACUGGAAGAGAAACAGGAAGUACCUCCAGGAUUCACCUAAAUAGAUGCUGCGGUUUCUAUCAAACCACAGGCCACCCCAGCAUCUCAGUGGCUUCUAUAGGUUGUCCUGAAAGAGCCAUGAGGCCAGGGCCCUUGAUGGAUUCCCAGAUACCAGCUGCUCCUCCAGACACCAAUUCCACCCUCCACCUUUCUGUGUCCGUCCCAGACCAAGGCAGCCCAGGUAAGGAGCCAUGAGUAGGAGGUUUCCCAGUGGGUAGAGGUGCCAGACUCAGCAGCUAGAAAUAUAGAAUGCUGGGUUAAAUGUAAAUUUCAGAUCAAUGAUAAUUUUUUGGGUAAGUGUAUCCCAUGCAGCAUUUGAAAUACAAUUUAAUCAAAUUUAACUAGAUGUCCUGCAUGUUGUAGGAAACUCUCUAGGAGGUGUGUCUCCAGGAUAGAGGGCCAGUGGAGAAUGGCAGCCCACACUGUUAUGGGAUGAAGUGUGUCCCCCAAAAUCAACAUGUUGAAGCUCUAACCCCCAGAACCCCGGAAUAAAACUAUAUUUGGAGUUAAGAUCUU
rnacentral:lncRNA from 10 species